rnacentral:misc_RNA from 1 species
GAUGAAGAACGUAGCGAAAUGCGAUACGUAAUGUGAAUUGCAGAAUUCAGUGAAUCAUCGAGUCUUUGAACGCACAUUGUGCCCCCUGGCAUUCCGGGGGGCAUGCCUGUCCGAGCGUCAUUGCUGCCCUUCAAGCCCGGCUUGUGUGUUGGGUCGUCGUCCCCCCCGGGGGACGGGCCCGAAAGGCAGCGGCGGCACCGCGUCCGGUCCUCGAGCGUAUGGGGCUUUGUCACCCGCUCGAUUAGGGCCGGCCGGGCGCCAGCCGGCGUCUCCAACCUUCUAUUUUACCAGGUUGACCUCGGAUCAGGUAGGGAUACCCGCUGAACUUAAGCAUAUCAAUAAGCGGAGGA